AUUGAACGCUGGCGGCAGGCCUAACACAUGCAAGUCGAGCGAGCGGCGGACGGGUGAGUAAUGUCCGGGAAACCGCCUGAUGGAGGGGGAUAACUACUGGAAACGGUAGCUAAUACAGCAUCCCAUCAGAUAUGCCCAGAUGGGAUUAGCUAGUAGGUGGGGUAAUGGCUCACCUAGGCGAGGAUCCCUAGCUGGUCUGAGAGGAUGACCAGCCACACUGGAACUGAGCCACGGUCCAGACUCCUACGCGAGGCAGCAGUGGGGAAUAUUGCACAAUGGGCGCAGGCCUGAUGCAGCCAUGCCGCGUGUGUGAAGAAGGCCUUCGUGUUGUAAAGCACUUUCAGCGGGAAAGCGUUACCCGCAGAAGAAGCACCGGCUAACUCCGUGCCAGCAGCCGCGGUAAUUC
rnacentral:rRNA from 1 species